rnacentral:rRNA from 1 species
UACGUAGGUGGCAAGCGUUGUCCGGAUUUACUGGGCGUAAAGAGCGCGCAGGCGGUCGAGUAAGUCGAGUGUGAAAGCCCCCGGCUUAACUGGGGAGGGUCAUUCGAUACUGUUCGACUUGAAGGCAGGAGAGGGCAGCAGAAUUCCCGGUGUAGUGGUGAAAUGCGUAGAUAUCGGGAGGAAUACCAGUGGCGAAGGCGGCUGCCUGGCCUGUUCUUGACGCUGAGGCGCGAAAGCUGGGGGAGCAAACGGGG